GGGGAUGUAGCUCAGUGGUAGAGCGCACGCUUCGCAUGUGUGAGGCCCCGGAUUCAACCCCCGGGCAUCUCCA
rfam:Ciona savignyi cont_32120, whole genome shotgun sequence.